GACGAACGCUGGCGGCGUGCUUAACACAUGCAAGUCGAACGGAAAGGCCCUGCUUUUGUGGGGUGCUCGAGUGGCGAACGGGUGAGUAACACGUGAGUAACCUGCCCUUGACUUUGGGAUAACUUCAGGAAACUGGGGCUAAUACCGGAUAGGAGCUCCUGCUGCAUGGUGGGGGUUGGAGAGUUUCGGCGGUUGGGGAUGGACUCGCGGCUUAUCAGCUUGUUGGUGGGGUAGUGGCUUACCAAGGCUUUGAUGGGUAGCCGGCCUGAGAGGGUGACCGGCCACAUUGGGACUGAGAUACGGCCCAGACUCCUACGGGAGGCAGCAGUGGGGAAUAUUGCACAAUGGGCGGAAGCCUGAUGCAGCAACGCCGCGUGCGGGAUGACGGCCUUCGGGUUGUAAACCGCUUUCGCCUGUGACGAAGCGUGAGUGACGGUAAUGGGUAAAGAAGCACCGGCUAACUACGUG
rnacentral:rRNA from 1 species